AGGCUAAGGGAGAGAUAGCUAAUGACCGGUAUUGUGUACUGAGAUCAGACUUCAGGGAUGAAGCAGCUGUAUGUUCUCAUGUCCUGGACACUACCACGUUGAUGGCUGUCUAAAUCCAGGGAGCAGGAAAAUCCAGAUUCGAAACAUCCCUCCUCACCUGCAGUGGGAGGUGUUGGAUGGACUUCUGGCUCAGUAUGGGACAGUGGAGAAUGUGGAACAAGUCAACACGGACACAGAAACCGCUGUUGUCAACGUCACAUAUGCAAGAAGAGAAGAAGCAAAAAUAGCCGUGGAGAAGCUGAGCGGGCAUCAGUUUGAGAACUACUCCUUCAAGAUUUCCUACAUCCCGGAUGAAGAG
rnacentral:sRNA from 1 species